rnacentral:lncRNA from 1 species
UUCUCUGAUGACUUUCCCUUGUGCUCUGAUGAUACCUGGGUCUCUAGGCACACGUUUCUAGGGUUUAUUUCCUGGUACAUUCCAUGCAUUUAUCAGCGCUUUUCAAGUGCUUGGCAAUGUCUUAAGGUUCUGACUCUCCCUCUUAUCUCUGCACUUUCUCCCUCUGCUAUUUCAUCCGGCCUCAAAGCUUUAAUUAUCAGCGCUCUUCAUCCUCUCCUUAGCAGCCACUGCCUUAAUAUAUAUCCUUAUCAUUUCUUUCCUGGACGUUCACAAACCUGCCUAAAUAAUCUUCCUGCUGCCACUUAUUAACUACCUCUUAUCCUAUAAAAACUAUCUUUCCCCACCUUUCUCUCUUUCCUUUAUUUCUCUUAUAUUUAAUAUAAAAUGUUUCAAAAUUUCCCCAAAUUUAGAAAAUUGGAAAGAGUCAAAGUCAAGCAUUUCAGCUUUAGUGGGCUUUCUGCCAGAAUUUCUUGAGGUCCAGGUUUUUAAAAGAGGAAUGAAGGGGAGAGAAUUUUUUUCAGCCUUUGAAAAUUAGAUAAGUCUUGUCCAUUUAAAUUGCUCCAACAUAUGAAGAAGGAAUCUUUCAAAUACUUUUUGGGAAGACAGCAACAUACUGAUAAGAAACCUGACAGAAAUAUCUCACAAAAAGAAAUAAGUUCCCUCCUGUGUAGCGGGUUAAGGAUCCUGCAUUGCCGCAGCUGAGGCACAAGUUUGAUCCCUGGCCUGGGAACUUUUACGUAUCACAGUUGCAGCAAAAAAAAAAAAAAAAAAAAAAAAAGGAAAAAAAAGAUCAGUCUCACUUGUGGAAAUUAUGCAAAAAUACCAAAAAAAAAAUGAGCAAAUAUAAUAUGGUAGAAAAGUUAAAAUGAUAAAUAAAGGACUGCAAGAAUGAUUUAAUAGUAAGCACUUUCUUGAAUUAAAAUAGCUUAUUACUAGGACAGGGAUCAAUUUUAAUCAUUGCUUCAAAUAAUGCCAAAUUAGACCUUUGAUAAAAUCCAAAUCCAAAUUGCAUUCCUACCUAAAAAGAACUCUGAGCAUAAACAGGAUCAAAUGACACUUCCUUGACAUACUAAUCUCAUUUCAAAGCAUCAUGCUUAAUAGCGAAAAAAAAAAUGUGAAAAACUUCCCUUGAAAAGGGAAACAAAAAAUGAAAUUUCAGUUUACUCUUGUUUGCAAAGUACCAAACAAAGCAUUUAGAGAAAUAUAAAGUACCAGUAUAAGAAAUAAAGUAAACUUAUAGCUACUUGUGGAUAAUUUGCCAGCAUGCAUGGAAAAGUUAAGAUUAUCAACUGAAGGAAAACAAUAGAAAUAUAAGAUUUUAUUCAGUAUAUUUGCAUAAUUUUCACAAGUAAGACUACUUGUAGUUUUCUUGGGAUGAGUUAUCUAUGAAAUAGUGCUCAUUGGCUUUGCAAAUAGAAUUUGGAAGUGAUUCUUCUUUUUGUUUUGGAACUAUUUAAAUACCCUGAAUUUAUCUUAUCUUUGAAGUUGGAACAAUUUACAUGCUAAAAACCAAAAAAAGCAGAAACCUAUGUCUGUUAAAAACUUGGUAGGAAACUAAUAAAGUAGUUACAAAAUAAUUACUCAAAAGUCAAUAGCUUUUCUAUACAAAAAUAACCAGACAAUAUAAUGGAUUUAAGAGUACUAGCUCUAACAACAAAAUUUUAUCCAAUUUUAUGGAUAAAAUUCAAAUGACUUAUUCAGAACAUAUAGACACUCAUUCCAAAAAAAAAGAAAAUUUUAAGAUUUCUUAAAAUCUUACGUUGGGAGCUAUUACGGUGAUGAAUAAUUAAAAGGUAUAUCUUGAUAUUGGAUAGAAAAUGUCAAAAUAAUUAAAUUUCUAAAUUUGAUGGGGUCCCAUGCCAUUGAAAACUAUUAAAAAGUUUAGGAUUCAGGAGAGCAGGGCUUUAAAGAUAUUAGAUGGGUAGAGUUGAUAUUUGAUAGGGGUUUAAUACUAAAAUAUAUAUGUUGUAAAACUUAAUAGCAAAAAAUAUACAGUUGACCCUUGAACAACAUGGGUUUGAACUGUGUGGGUCCACUUAUACUUGAAUUUUCUUUUUCAACAAAUACUACUGCAGUACUACAUGAUCUAUAGUUGGUUGAAUCUGAAGAUACAGAAUGUGGACAUAGUGGGCCAACUAUAAAGUUCUAUAUGAAUUUUCAACUGCAGGAGCGUCUAUUCCACUAACCCCUUCAUUGUUUCAAGGGUCAACUGUAAUCUGAUUUAAAUAUGGUCAAAGAACAUGAAUGGACAUUUUUCCAAAGAAGGCAAACAAGUGGCCAACGGGUAUACGAAAAGAUACUAACCAUCACUAAUCAUAGUGGAAAUAAAAAGCAAAAUCACAAUGAGAUAGCACCUCACACCUGUUAGGACAGCUCUCCUCAAAACGUCUAGAGAUAACAAAUGUUGGCAAGGAUGCAGAAAAAAGAAAACCCUUGCCCAAUGCUGAUGGGAAUGUAAAUUGGCACAGCCACUAUGGAAAACAUUAUAAAGAUUCCUCGAACAAUUAAAAAAAGGACUAUCCUGUGGUACAGCAAUCCCACUUCCAGGUGUAUAUUUGGAAGGAAACAAAAUCAGUAGCUUGGAGAGAUAACUGUCCUCCCCUGUCCUUUGUGAACAUUCACAAUGACCUAUUGAAACAACCUGAGUAUCUGUUGAUGGAUGAAUGAUAAAGAAAAUGUGAAACAUACAUUUUUAUACACUGAAAUGUUAUUUGUCCUUUAAAAGAAGAAAAGCCUGCAUUCGUGACAACAUAGAUGAACCUGGAAGGCAUUAUGCUAAGUGAAACAAGCCAGAAGGAGAAAGACAAACAGUAGAUGACCCCAUUUAUAUGUUAGGGGAAAAAAGCCCACCUCAUAGAAACAGAGAGUAGAAUGGAGCUUACCAGCACUAGGAGUGAGGGCAAUGGGGAAAUAUCAGGAAAAAUACAAACUUUCAGCUAUAAGAUGAAUAAGUUCUGGGGAUCUAAUGUACAGCGUGAGGACUGUAGUUAAUUACAUUAUAUUGUAAACUUGAAAUUUGCUAAGAGAGUAAAUCUUAAGCAUUCUCAUCACACAAAAAGUAAAUAAAUACUAGAUUACUCUGAAGUUCAUCUGGAAGAAAAUGAACAUGUGAGAAUAGCUAAGAUAAACAUGAAAACAUGGGAGUAAUGAGAAAAGACAAGCACUGUCAGCAUUUUAAAAUCUUUAAAAUCAUAGUAUUUAAAAUAGCAUUAUACCAGUAGAGGAGUGAACAGACACAGAAAUGAAACGGAAUCCAGAAAUAGAUCUAAAUGCAUAACGUGAUUUAGUCUAUGAUAAAGAUGGAAUUUUUAGCUAGUGGAGUAAAGAUGAAUUAUUUAAUAAACUGUAUUUGAAAAUAGACUAAUUGCUGGAAAACUUAUCUGAAUCACUGGUUAAUUCCUUACAACAAACUUAAUUCUAGAGCAAUAAAAAAUUUAGGUUUUAUUUAAAAAAAAAAUUAGACUUUAAAAAUACCUAGAAGAGGAGUUCCCAUCAUGGCUCAGUGGAAAUGAAUCUGACUGGCAUCCAUGAGGACACAGGUUCAAUCCCUGGCCUCGGUCAGUGGGUUAAAGAUCCGGCAUUGCCGUGAGCUGUGGUGUAGGUCACAGACGCAGCUCUAGCCUGGGAACCUCCAUUUGCCAUGAGUAAAAAAGUCAUAUCUGUUUUAACUUUCAGUUCUAUAAUCAUGAGUGAAGUUGGGCUUCUUUUCAUGUGUUUAUUGGCCAUUUAUAUUUUUGAUCUGUUCUUAUACUUUGCCCACUUUAUAUUAUAUAUUUUUAUUGCUGUGUAGGGAUUCUGAUUAUUAACAAAUAAUACUAUUGGUCUGCUAGAUACAUUCUGUUGCUUGCCUUUCUGUACCAACUUACAACAGCACAGAACUAUAAAUUCUAUCAAAUAUGCAAUCUCUUUGUUUAUAAAUUCUAGAUUUCAUACCUAUUUAUAAAAGCAUUUUUUCCUGCUCAAGUUAAUAAUAUAAUAUUACAGCAGAUAUGAAAAACAUGCAAUAUAUUUAUGUGUAUUGAUGUGGGGGGUCUAUAUUAAUUAUCUUUGUGAUAAGUCCAACAUCCUAACACAAAGUACUGAAUCAUCAGUCCUUUCCUCACUUCAGGCAAACUUUGGAUAUAUUCAAUUGGUGUAUGUUCUUAGAUCUGUGUCAGACUCUCGACUCUGUUGCAUGAAAUUAUUUGUUUGUUUUCAUGCCAGAAUUAUAAACAUUAAGUUAUAGUAACUUCUUGUUUUCUAUCUGUCUGAGAGGGUGAGCGCCACACUCAUUCUUAUUUUUCAAAAUAUUCUUGUCUACUUUCAUGCAGGUUUGUAAUUUUUUUAUUAUUUGUUUGUCUUCUGUAGAUAAAUAUUGGAAUAAGCUUGACAAGUUCUCCCAAAAUUCCACUGGAGUUACAUUGGAAUGUCAUUGGAUUUAAGAAAAUAAUUGAAAAGACUGACAUUGUUCAAAUAUGGUCUUCCUAACUAAUGGUGUUAUUUAUCCAUACAUUUAUUCAGAUCUUCUUUUACAUCCCCUUGUAAGGUUGGUUUGCUUAUUUGUUUGUUUGUUUGCUGUGCCCACAGUAUGAGGAAGUUCCUGGGUUAGGGAUCGAACCUCUGCCACAGCAGCAACCUGAGUAACAGCAGUGACAAUGCCAGAUCCUUAAUGCAUUGAGCCACCAGGGAACUCUUAAAAUGUUUUAUAGUUUUGUUUUGUUUUUUUUCCCCAGAAAUGUCUUGUACCUUAAAUUUAUUCUUAGCUCUUUGGCACUUUUUAUGGUCCAUGUGAAUGGGCUAUUUUUCAUUUCAUUUCCUAAGUAAUUAUUACAAGUACAAAAGGAAGCCAUCCAUUUUGGACAUUAAGCUUAUGACUCUUUAGUUAAUUGCCUAUUGGUUUUAAUACAUUAUCCCACCACCAUCUUGCAUUCAGUACAACAAUCAACCACUUCUAUUGAAAUAUUUGUAACAUCUCUGUGUCAUCUACAGAUAAUGUCUGAUCUGCCUCUGCGUCGAUAAAACACAGAGGUGUUAAAUAAAUAUUAGUUUAAUGAAUGCUGAUUCUUAAAUAUACAUUUUAAUCUUGUCCACAGUUUACAGGUUGAAUUUCCAACUG